UUGCAAAAGCAUUUAAAAUGGCUCAGCUCUCUUCUCAACAGCUGUGCCUUAGACCAUAAAGUGCAGCUUCAACUAGCUGAACGGGUAACUGUUCCCCUUAGAAAUGUGAAAGAAGAUGAACAUUUUGUCUUCCAAUAAUAUUUAAUAAGAUGCCAAGCUUGUGAUGACAAUCUCUGUUCCCCAGUUGCUUCUCCACCCGAGUGUCGUGGCAGAGGAUGGCUUGUUGCCGAGGACAGUCCCAUCUACGAAAGAAGCUAGAGAAGCAGCGAGAACUAGUGGAAAGAGCACUAG